CUUGCACCUGGUGGCGAGUGGCGAACGGGUGAGUAAUACAUCGGAACGUACCUUAUCGUGGGGGAUAACGCAGCGAAAGCUGUGCUAAUACCGCAUACGCCCUGAGGGGGAAAGCGGGGGAUCGAAAGACCUCGCGCGAUUAGAGCGGCCGAUGCCUGAUUAGCUUGUUGGUGGGGUAAAAGCCCACCAAGGCGACGAUCAGUAGCUGGUCUGAGAGGACGAUCAGCCACACUGGGACUGAGACACGGCCCAGACUCCUACGGGAGGCAGCAGUGGGGAAUUUUGGACAAUGGGGGAAACCCUGAUCCAGCAAUGCCGCGUGAGUGAAGAAGGCCUUCGGGUUGUAAAGCUCUUUUGUCAGGGAAGAAACACCGGCUCUAACACAGUCCGGGAAUGACGGUACCUGAAGAAUAAGCACCGGCUAACUACGUGCCAGCAGCCGCGGUAAUACGUAGGGUGCGAGCGUUAAUCGGAAUUACUGGGCGUAAAGCGUGCGCAGGCGGUUAUACAAGACAGGCGUGAAAUCCCCGGGCUUAACCUGGGAAUGGCGCCUGUGACUGUAUAGCUAGAGUGUGUCAGAGGGGGGUAGAAUUCCACGUGUAGCAGUGAAAUGCGUAGAUAUGUGGAGGAAUACCAAUGGCGAAGGCAGCCCCCCGGGAUAACACUGACGCUCAUGCACGAAAGCGUGGGGAGCAAACAG
rnacentral:rRNA from 1 species